UACGUAGGGUGCAAGCGUUAAUCGGAAUUACUGGGCGUAAAGCGUGCGCAGGCGGUUUUAUAAGACAGAUGUGAAAUCCCCGGGCUCAACCCGGGAACUGCGUCCGAUACUGGCUGGCUUGAAUCCGGGAGAGGGAAGCGGAAUUCCAGGUGUAGCGGUGAAAUGCGUAGAUAUCUGGAGGAACACCGGUGGCGAAGGCGGCAUCCUGGACCGGCAUUGACGCUGAGGCGCGAAAGCCAGGGGAGCAAACGGG
rnacentral:rRNA from 1 species